UACGUAGGGUGCAAGCGUUGUCCGGAUUUAUUGGGCGUAAAGAGCUCGUAGGCGGUUUCGUAAGUCGGAUGUGAAAACUCCAGGCUCAACUUGGAGACGCCAUUCGAUACUGCGAGGCCUUGAGUCCGGUAGGGGAGUGUGGAAUUCCUGGUGUAGCGGUGAAAUGCGCAGAUAUCAGGAGGAACACCGGUGGCGAAGGCGGGUCUCUGGGCCGUAACUGACGCUGAGGAGCGAAAGCAUGGGGAGCGAACAGG
rnacentral:rRNA from 1 species